AAGAAGGGAAGAGAGAGAGAGAGAAUGCUUGCUAAUUUGACAUUUUUACAGUUUCAUAGAAAGCCUUGUACGGUAUGCCAUGCAUUGCUCAUUCCCAGAAAGCCCUGUACAGGGCUCCAUAUGUGAUUCUUUUCACUUGCUGGGAACCUCCCAACAAAGAAAGUACCAAAACCAGUAAAGUCAGGAUAAUAAAAAGUAUAGAAAUCAGUUUGUGAUUGCCUAUCCUAGCUGAGAAAAAACCAAGCACGCUUUUUGGUAACUCCUCAGAGCUUGGUAAUUUAGUUUCCUCGACAGAAUACUUAUCAAUGUUGCUUUCAGAUGCCUCUGCAUUGGACAUGCCGCACCGUUUCCUGUGUAACUUGAUUCUUCGGUUGGCUGUUCCUUGGAAAGGAAUCGACUGUAAAGGAAGUGCUUGCGAAGCAAUUAAUUCUACCGGCUGUUGAGCUUCUGUCUGAGCCUCACUCUUACUGGUAAUCAUUGGGAACUCUGGAGUAACAGAAAAUGAAGUUUCAUUUCGUUGGAAAGGAAUCGCCUGUAAAUGAAGUGCUUGCGAAACAAUUAAUUCCCCAGGCUGUUGAGCUUCUGUCUGAGCCUCAGGCUUUCUGGCAAUCACUGGAAACGCCGGAGUGGCAGACAAUGAAGUUUCAUCCAGUUUAACUAUAUCAUCUUUCAGUAUAUCAGCAUAAAAAUCAUCUUGAUUAUCAGAAUCCUCCUGCUGUUGGCUAGAAGAUUCUGCCAAAGGAGCCUCAUUUGAUAAUUUCUGCUCAGAUUCAGAUGCAGAAUCCAAUUGCUCAAUAGAAUGAGAGUCGUAACUGCUACUACACUUUCUUGAG
rnacentral:misc_RNA from 1 species